UACAGAGGUCCCAAGCGUUGUUCGGAUUCACUGGGCGUAAAGGGUGCGUAGGCGGCUUGCCAAGUCUGAUGUGAAAUCUCCGGGCUUAACCCGGAAACUGCAUUGGAAACUAUCAAGCUUGAGGAUUGGAGGGGAGACUGGAAUUCUCGGUGUAGCAGUGAAAUGCGUAGAUAUCGAGAGGAACAUCAGUGGCGAAGGCGAGUCUCUAGACAAUUCCUGACGCUGAGGCACGAAAGCUAGGGGAGCAAACAGG
rnacentral:rRNA from 1 species